GCAUGGCAAUGGAUUUAUGGUGGGGUCCAGAUAAUGACCUCUCCAUAGUGUAUCCCAUGCAAGAGAAAAACGCUACUCCGAACCAUUGGCAGGUCUGUUACUGUAGGCCUUGACCACUGAAGUGAGUUGUACAGUC